rnacentral:SRP_RNA from 1 species
UGCCAGGCCCUGUGAACGUGGACGUUACGAACCCCGUCAGGUUCGGAAGAAAGCAGCGGUAAGUGACGGAUCCGCGUGCCACAGGUAAGCCUGGCGGGA